UCUUGCCCGACGAAGCAGAUGCUGAUGAUGAAGAAGAAGGAGAACUCAUAAGAAGAACUACUCAUAACAAGAACUAAGAAGUCUCAGAUGAGUGGACUGCCUGUUUCCAAGAAAUGGACAAUGAAGGGGGAUGUUUAUAUUGUUUGUUUGCUGUUCCGUUCAGUCCUAUUUUCUGUUCAAAUAAAGCAUAUUGGAGUGACCCCA